GUAGGGUGCGAGCGUUAAUCGGAAUUACUGGGCGUAAAGCGUGCGCAGGCGGUUCGUUAAGUCUGAUGUGAAAGCCCCGGGCUCAACCUGGGAAUGGCAUUGGAAACUAGCGGGCUGGAGUGUGGCAGAGGGGGGUGGAAUUCCGCGUGUAGCAGUGAAAUGCGUAGAGAUGCGGAGGAACACCGAUGGCGAAGGCAACCCCCUGGGCUGACACUGACGCUCAGGCACGAAAGCGUGGGGAGCAAACAGGAUUAGAUACCCUGGUAGUCCACGCCCUAAACGAUGUCAACUAGGUGUUGGGGGAGCGAUUUCUCAGUACCGUAGCUAACGCGUGAAGUUGACCGCCUGGGGAGUACGGCCGCAAGGUUA
rnacentral:rRNA from 1 species